GAUCUGAUAGCAUAACUGGUUAGUGCACCUGCUCAAAUAUAUUUUAUACAUGGCGAACGUUCAAGCAGGGGACCCCCGUUCGAUCCGGGGUCAGGUCG